GAUGAACGCUGGCGGCGUGCCUAAUACAUGCAAGUCGAGCGAACAGACGAGGAGCUUGCUCCUCUUACGUUAGCGGCGGACGGGUGAGUAACACGUGGAUAACCUACCUAUAAGACUGGGAUAACUUCGGGAAACCGGAGCUAAUACCGGAUAAUAUAUUGAACCGCAUGGUUCAAUAGUGAAAGACGGUUUUGCUGUCACUUAUAGAUGGAUCCGCGCCGCAUUAGCUAGUUGGUAAGGUAACGGCUUACCAAGGCAACGAUGCGUAGCCGACCUGAGAGGGUGAUCGGCCACACUGGAACUGAGACACGGUCCAGACUCCUACGGGAGGCAGCAGUAGGGAAUCUUCCGCAAUGGGCGAAAGCCUGACGGAGCAACGCCGCGUGAGUGAUGAAGGUCUUCGGAUCGUAAAACUCUGUUAUUAGGGAAGAACAAAUGCGUAAGUAACUAUGCACGUCUUGACGGUACCUAAUCAGAAAGCCACGGCUAACUACGUG
rnacentral:rRNA from 1 species